UACGAAGGGGGCUAGCGUUGUUCGGAAUUACUGGGCGUAAAGGGCGCGUAGGCGGCUUUUCAAGCCGAUUGUGAAAUCCCCGGGCUUAACCUGGGAACUGCAGUCGGGACUGUCUAGCUAGAGUAUGGGAGAGGGAAGUGGAAUUUCAGGUGUAGCGGUGAAAUGCGUAGAUAUCUGAAGGAACAUCAGUGGCGAAAGCGACUUCCUGGACCAAUACUGACGCUCAUGUGCGAAAGCGUGGGGAGCAAACAGG
rnacentral:rRNA from 1 species